rnacentral:rRNA from 1 species
GACGAACGCUGGCGGCGUGCUUAACACAUGCAAGUCGAACGGAAAGGCCCUGCUUUUGUGGGGUGCUCGAGUGGCGAACGGGUGAGUAACACGUGAGUAACCUGCCCUUGACUUUGGGAUAACUUCAGGGAACUGGGGCUAAUACCGGAUAGGAGCUCCUGCUGCAUGGGGGGGGUUGGAAAGUUUCGGCGGUUGGGGUUGGACUCGCGGCUUAUCAGCUUGUUGGUGGGGUAGUGGCUUACCAGGGCUUUGACGGGUAGCCGGCCUGAGAGGGUGACCGGCCCCAUUGGGCUUGAGAUACGGCCCAGACUCCUCCGGGAGGCAGCGGUGGAGAAUAUUGCCCAAUGGGCGGAAGCAUGAUGCAGCAGCGCCGCGUGCGGGAUGACGGCCUUCGGGUUGUAAUCCGAUUUGGCCUGUGACGAAGCGUGAGUGACGGUAAUGGGUAAAGAAGCACCGGCUAACUACGUG